AUGGCGUCGUCGCUCCUCCCGGCGUUCGCGGUGCGGCGGGGCGAGCCGGUGCUGGUGGCCCCGGCGGAGCAGACGCCGAGGGAGACCAAGACGCUGUCCGACAUCGACGACGGCGAGGGCAUGCGGUUCUACAGCUCGGGCAUCCACCUGUACCGGGCUAACCCGGACAAGCAGGGGGUCGACCCGGCCGCCGUCAUCCGGGAGGCGCUGGCCAGGGCGCUCGUGCCCUACUACCCGCUCGCCGGCCGCCUGCGCGAGGAGGCCGGGAGGAAGCUCGUCGUCGACUGCGAGGCGCAGGGCGUCAUGUUCGUCGAGGCCGACGUCGACCUCACCGCGGCUGACUUCGGGGACGUGCAGAGCCCCCCGUUCCCUUGCUUCGAGCAGUUCAUCCUCGAGAGCACCACCGUCGCCGGCGUCGAGCCCGUCAUCGACCGCCCCUUGCUCUACAUCCAGGUGACGAGGCUCAAGUGCGGGGGCUUCAUCUUCGGGCAGCGUUUCUGCCACUGCGUGGCGGACGCACCGGGCGGGAUGCAGUUCGAGAAGGCCGUCUGCGAGCUGGCGUGCGGCGCCGCCGCACCGUCGAUCACGCCGUCAUGGGGCAGGGAGAUGUUCAUGGCGAGGCAGCCGCCGCAGCCGUCGUACCCGCACCUGGAGUACAGCGAGCCGGCGGGCGGGCCGGUCGACCGGAUGCUGACGACUCCUCCCGGCGACGUCGCGCGCGUGCUCUUCUUCUUCGGGCCACGCGAGAUCGCGGGGCUGCGGCAGCGCGCGCCGCCUCACAUGAGCCGGAGCUCCCGGUUCGAGCUGGUGGCGGCGUGCAUCUGGCUCGGCCGCACGGCGGCGCUCGGCUACGGCGCCGACGAGGAGGUGCGGCUGUCCUUCAUCGUGAACGCGCGCGGCCGCCGCGACGUGCCGCUCCCAGAGGGCUUCUACGGGAACGCCUUCGCCUACUCCGUGGCGGCGACCACGGCCGGGGAGCUCUGCGCGGGCGGGCUGGGCUACGCGCUGGAGCUGGUGAAGAAGGCCAAGUCGGCGGUGACGUACGACUACCUGCUGUCGGUGGCGGACCUGAUGGUGCUCCGGGGGCGGCCGCUGUUCGCGCUGUCCCGGACGUACAUCGUGUCGGACGUGAGCCACGCCGGGUUCAAGAGCGUGGACUUCGGGUGGGGCGAGGCCGUGUACGGCGGGCCGGCCAAGGGCGGCGAGGGGCCGAUCCCCGGCGUGACCAACUACUUCUCCAGGUCCAAGAACCGCAAGGGGGAGGAGAGCACCGUGGUGCCUAUCAGCCUGCCCAAGGACGCCAUGGACAAGUUCCAGCUCGAGGUCGAAGGCCUCACCGCCGAGAUCUAG
rnacentral:rRNA from 1 species